AGAAACUUCUUUAAUCAAGCUGGAGACUCAGAAGCAAUUAAAUUAAAAAAUCAGUGCUUACAAAAUUUUAAGGAUUAUGUGACAUAAGUACAAUAAAGUCAAUUAAACAAUUAUAGUAAGAUGCAGAGCCAGUGCCUGACUGUUAACUAAUAUACUGCUUUCUUCAUUCAGAAAGCUUAUUACAAAAAAAUUCUCUUUAUGGUCUGAUGCAAGCUCCUCCUCAUUUGAGACUGAUACAGUUUGCUAACCAUCACUGGCCUACUGACCACACUUUGUGAAUUAUUGCUCUGGAGAAGAAGUCAGCAAACUGUUUCUGUAAAGGGCCAGAUGGUAAUUAUUUUAGGCUUUGUGGGCCUUGUGGUCUCUGUAGCAUCUAUUCAACUCUACCUUUGUCCUGUGAAAGCAGCAUAGACAAAUUUAAAAGAACAAGCAAGGCUAUAUUAAAAUAAAAGUUUAUUUACAAAAAGAGGUGGCCACCCAGAUUUGACCCUUGGGCUGUAGUUUACUGACUUCUGCUCUAGGCAAUACCAAUAUAAGGAGGAUAUAAUACUUAGCCUCAAAAAUGAAAGUUUAGAAGUCAUCCAGAUGGCCAACAGUAUCACUAAUUAUUAGAGAAAUGCAAAUCAAAACUACAUUGAGGUAUCAACACUAGUCAGAAUGGCUGUCAUCAAAAAGUCAACAAAUAAUAAAUGUUGGAGAGGCUGUGGAGAAAAGGGAACCCUCCUACCACUGUUGGUAUGGAUGUAAAUUAGUGCAGCCACUAUGGAGAACAAUAUGGAGGUUCCUUAACAAACUAAACAUGGAAUUACUAUAUGAUCCAGCAAUCCUCCUCAUAUAUCCAGAAAAGAUGAAAACUCUAAUUCAAAAAGAUACAUGCACCCCAAUAUUCAUUGUAGCAAUAUUUCAAAAAAAAUUUAAGUAUAGUUGAUUUACAGUGUGCCAAUUUCUGCUGUAUAGCAAAGUGACUCAGUCAUACAUAUAUAUAUAUACAUGAUUUUUAAAUACUAUUUUAAAUCAUGCUAUAUCCCAGGAGACUGGAUAUAGUUCCCUGUGCUGUACAGUAAGAUCUCAUUGCUUAUCCAUUCUAAAUGUAAUCGUUUGCAUCUACUAACUCCAGACUUCCAAUCCAUCCCACUCAUACCCAUCUCCCCCUUGGCAACCACAAGUCUGCUCUCUAUGUCUGUGAGUCUGUUUCUGUUUUGUACAUAGGUUCAUUUGUGCCACAUUUUAGAUCCCACAUAUAAGUGACAUCAUAUAGUAUUUGUCUUUUUCUUUCUGACUUCACUUAGUAUGAGAAUCUCUCAUUGCAUCCAUGUUGUUGCAGCCCUAUUGACAAUAGCCAAGACAUGAAAGCAACCUAAAUGUCCGUCAACAGAUGAAUGGAUAAAGGACAUGUGGGGUGUAUGUGUAUGCAUACAUACAAUUGAAUAUUAGUCAGCCAUUAAAAAAAUGAAAUAAUGCCACUUUCAGCAGCAUGGACAUUAAGAGAAUUAAGUCAGACAAGAAAAAUAUGCAAUAUCACUUAUAUGUGGAAUCUGAAAAAAAAUGAUACAAGUGAACUUAUUUACAAAAAAGAAAUGGACUCACAGACAUAGAAAACAAACUUACGGUUACCAAAGGGGAAAGAGGAGAGAGGGAUAAGUUAGGAGUUUGGGAUUUAAAAAAAUUUGAGGUGUUAUAUGGCCUCAUAGGAGUGGGAAGGAAGGAAGCAUCACCAUUUUUAGCUUGAAAGAGCUGAUCAUGCACUAUCCAAAUAAGCAGCCACUUGAGCACUUCCCAGGUGGAUAGUCCAAAUUGAGAUAUGCUCUAAGUAUUUUAUAUGCAGAUCAGAUUUUGAAGAUUUAAUAUGCAAAAAUAUAAAAUGCCUCAAUUUUUAUAUUGAUUACAUGUUGAAAGGCAGUAUUUUGACAUUGAAUUAAAGAAAACAAUGAAAUGAAUUUCACUUGUUUCUUUUUAAUUAAUGCGGCUCCUAGAAAUUUAGAUAAUGUAGCUUGUCAAUAUCUCUCUCUCUAUUGGACAGCACUGGACUGAAAGUACUCAAAGUUUAAAUUAGGUGCUCUUGGCCCAAGGGAGAGAGCUCAGCCAGCUGGGGAGUUUGGAAAGGUCACGUGGACCGAAUUGACCUUGGAGAAUGACAAGAUUUUGGCAAGUGGUGCCCUGGGAGGAUUCUGAAGCCUAUCAGAUGGAGGAAGUAGCAUCAAUAGAGGCUGGGAGACAACAGAAUGGUUUCUUUGUUGGUACAGAAGUGAGUUUAGCUGUAAUAAGGGACAAAGCAUGUGACAAGUCUAGGUAAAUAGGCAUAGGCCUUAUUGUGGGCUCUCCUCGUGGGUUAGGGGUUUGGACCUGUUUUUGGCUGGCAACAGGGGAGGGGAGGUGACUACGCCAUAGUUUUGAGCAGGGAGUAGUAACUUUGAAAGGUGAUUAGAUGUCUGAUCUGGAAAAUAUAAGUUGAUUGGAUUGGAGUAAGAAAGACACUAAGUGGUUAAACCAGGUUAACUAGGAAAGACCAAAGGUCUAAUAUCAGAUGCCAGUGGAACUGGGAAGUAGAGGAUGGUGGAAAGCCACUUUAUACUGUGCCAAGGAUAUUUGUGAAUGAGUGAGAACACCAGUGUUUUGUGCUUGACGAAUUUGGAUAAUGGUGAUGCCCUCAUAGAAAUGCAGACCUUAGAAGAAGUUGGUUUGAGACUCAUAUGAUGUGUUUAGUUUGAGACAGCCCACUAAUAUGAUGUGUUUAGUUACAAGACAGGCCAGCUCGCAGAAGCUUGCUCACUUCGGUCUUUUGCUGGCAAAAAUGGUGCUGGACCAUUCUUUGCUUUUGGCCAGCUCUGUCUUUCCUGACCCUUCCCGCCAUCCACCAUGGUCACAGUUAAUUGAUCAGGGAAAGGGGUCUGACCUUUGGAUAUUUGCUCAUUGGCUGGUCAGUGGAACUUGAGAUGAUUAGGCUUGUAAGGGCUGAGUGGAGCAGUUCUUUUUUAGACAUCUGAACUGGAGAUACAAGAGAGAGAGCUGGUGUAGGGACAGGAGAAAGAAACAUGGGGAGGAACAGCAGGGAAAGGGGAAACCUAAGCCAAUGAGAGUGGUGGAGAGAUGAGCAGGACCAGUGAACUCCUGGCCACUGGACUGUGUAGGUUCCUGGACAGAUCUGCCACAGCCCGUGCUUUGCCCUUCUGGGAAGAGUGGCUCUUCAUAGUUCUGGUGAGAUAAUGGCCGAAUGAGCAUGAUUCCUUUCCUCUUUAUUCCCUCCGUUUUCCUAACAGGAAAGCUCCAUUGGCUAACCAAGAAGGGUGAUGAGGUGGAUGUUUGAAAUUGUUAGAAAGGCAGGUUUGGAAUUAAGAGAGGAGGUCGGCGUGGAGAUGCAAAGUUAAGAAAAGCCCAAUUUGUUCAUGCAAGAGGCAUGAGAUUGUAAACAGUACUCUUCAGUGGCAGAGGAAGCCCAGCAUUCUAAAGGCAGUCGAUGCUAAAUUGCUUGCUGAUAACAGGUGUAAUAGGUGUGGCAAAGCAUUCAGCCAGCAACACUAAUGGAAGUCUGAGUUUGCAGUAAGCCUUGUUUAAGGGAUGAAGGUUCUGCUAUAGGGAAGGAGCAAGUUAUUCAACAAGUUACUCAUUAAUCUCCUUAACAGAGCUGCUCUGUUUGCAAAGUAAGGUUAGCAGUUGUUUUAGUUUAUAUUCUUCAGAGAUGUUUUGAGGACAAACAAGUAACAGCUUUGCAUGUUGUAUUUUUCAUUAGAUACUCCCGGUCUACAGAGGCAGUAGCUGGCCUGACAAUUUUUAUAAACAGCUUAGAACAGGCAGCUCUGAGUAGUGGCUCAGGGAGGGCUUUUGGAGUGGGGGGGGGGGGGGCUUCCGUUUGGUCUAGAUGACAAAUGUAGGUGAAAUGCAUUUCUCCAUAUGGUUGACAACUGGGAUCAGAGUCUUAAGCUGUCAGGACUGAACUCUGUAUAUCUAGCAUGGCAAUUGUUUUGAGAGAAAAAUACAGCAAAAGAGAGGUGUGUACAUAAAUUUUUUAAUAAAAACUGUUCAAAUAAACUGUCCACAAAACAGUAUGUAUAUUUGGUAUGCCAGUUUCGUAAGUUAAGAAAUGCAUGUGACAAAUCCUAGAGGGGGACCCACAUCCAAAUGUUAAUAGUUAUGGUUGGGUGGUAGGAUGAUUCAUGCGUUACGUUUUUCUUUGUGUUUGUCUUUGUUUUCUAAGACUUUUCUUCUCCCCUUACACAUAGCAUGAAUUACUUGAGUAAUUAAAAAAACAGCGAAUGCUUUUAAAAACAAUUUUGUCUAGGUGUUUUUCAUAAUAUAUACUUUUGUUUCUCAAAGAUGGAGUGGCUGUUUUCACUGCCUAGUCUCAUUUAUAAUGCAGCAGUUCUUUAGUCUGUUUUAGCAAUGGAUUAAAUUAAUGCAGAGCAAAAACAGAUUUAACUUGAUUUUUAAGCUUUGAUUCCUC
ensembl:lncRNA